AUAUAUGCGUGUGUGUGUUUAAAUAUUUAUUAAUUUUUCAAAACUAAUAAGUUUUGAAUAUGUGGGGUGAGUUGAUGGUCUCCAUUGCACAUAGGAGGGAUAUCAACUUAACGUCUCUCCAAGUGGGAGUUGUACGUCAUAAUUUGUUUCUUUGGGGGUACGCGCUCGCGCGGCCUCUAC
rnacentral:snRNA from 11 species